GCCUAUGUUGUGACGUCUGCUAACAAAACAUCAUACAGCCACCAUGAAAGCCGUCGCUCUGUUGAUUCUCGCUGGCUGUGUGGCCGCUUCGGCCUAUUUAUUCUGCCCUAACCAAGUCUUCUGUUUCGUCAACCCAUGCACCGUUUCUGCUUGUCCCAGUAUUCCAUGGGCUCAGUGUGUACCCGAUUACUGCCACGGAAAAUGUUGGGCCAGAUGGUAUUUUAGAGGGGUAGAGGUGACACCUUAUUGCCAGUGGUAUUGAUUGGCGAACACCA